AUAGCCAUCCUGCUGUCUACAUCUGGCUUGCUAAUGGGGAGAAACAUUCACAAAUCAAUGAUCAAUUAUCCUUUAACAUAUGAGUAUACAAGAACAGAGGUCCUAUACACUUUUGGAAUACCAAGUACCCUUGGCUUGGAUACAUUAGUUGAGACUUAUUCAAUAAGUCAUGGUUAUAUUGACCAGAGCUUUAGUACAUUCCCAAACAUAAAACAUCAUUUACUAAUUCUAGUCGAUUCUAACUGCUUUAAUGCUCGACUGUAAAGUAUUUGAGAACACAUGAAAAAACAUGUAUCUUACUAAAAAAUAAUUAUAAAUAAAUGUUCACCCUGUA